UGAGAAUAAUGUUUUUAUGGCGUAUGGACUAUGGUCUGCCGAUUAAAUAUGCCAACGAACUAAAUUUCGAUUGGAAAUAAUCGAAAACGUCUUCCUUUGUCAAUGUCAAAGAUAGUAGAUUUGAAUAACCAGUUUCACUUCUGAGGAAUAGCAAGAAACUGUGAGUCAUCUGUUAGACAUGCCGAGCAGUGAACAAGUACAGACUCUUUACGGGAUACCGAUGAGGCAACAAAACCUUACCCGUUUCAAGAUCAAGAAGAAUGGUGAAACCACCACACAGAUAUCCAUACAAAUCUGUCGAAGCUCAGGAAAAAACAUUUUUUUUGGGAAGAACACUCCAGUGAAAGGCUGCCACUGUCAUUUGAUGGGGUACCAUUCAUGAUCCUAGGUAGGGAGGUGCGGGAAUGCUGCCAUGGUCCGGACAGGCACCGAGCAGAGAAAAUAAAGGCAGCCCAA